rnacentral:rRNA from 1 species
CCUACGGGAGGCAGCAGUGGGGAAUAUUGCACAAUGGGCGAAAGCCUGAUGCAGCAACGCCGCGUGAGCGAUGAAGGCCUUCGGGUCGUAAAGCUCUGUCCUCAAGGAAGAUAAUGACGGUACUUGAGGAGGAAGCCCCGGCUAACUACGUGCCAGCAGCCGCGGUAAUACGUAGGGGGCUAGCGUUAUCCGGAAUUACUGGGCGGAAAGGGUGCGUAGGUGGUUUCUUAAGUCAGAGGUGAAAGGCUACGGCUCAACCGUAGUAAGCCUUUGAAACUGGGGAACUUGAGUGCAGGAGAGGAGAGUGGAAUUCCUAGUGGAGCGGUGAAAGGCGUAGAUAUUAGGAGGAACACCAGUUGCGAAGGCGGCUCUCUGGACUGUAACUGACACUGAGGCACGAAAGCGUGGGGAGCAAACAGGAUUAGAUACCCUUGUAGUC